rnacentral:misc_RNA from 1 species
GCCGCUCCAGCUGCAGCUGCUGCCCCAGCCGCCCAGGCUGCUGCCCCAGCUGAUGACAAGAAAGCUGCCAAGAAAGAGGAGAAGAAGGAGGAAUCUGAGUCUGAUGAGGACAUGGGAUUUGGUCUCUUCGACUGAGAAGAAAAAUCACAGUUUAUUUUAUGUGAAAGGAAAAAAAAUCCCAAAUAAAAAAGGAAAAAAAUGCAAAAUUUUCAAAACUUGUUUUCAUUCAACAAAGUGGGUACUACAUGUAAUUCUGAGUAGCCCCAUUUACUUCAAUACAUGUAUAAUAUGUAUUACAAUACAUACCAGUAUAUAUAUAC